AUUGUCGCUUUCUCGAAAAUUCGAAAUUCGGCGCCGUCUGCCAUUUAUACGAAAUCUACGGAAUCGUCGAUACACAUCCAGAAUGAGCUAUUAAUCUUUUAAUUAUACAUCGCGCUUAUCUCUGUGGCAUUAAACAAUAUCGAGGAGAAUUGAAUUACGUAUCUUAAGAUACGCAACUAGACACAGAAAACCGAAAUUGUUUUCAAAGAAGCAUAUUAAUCUUGAGAAAGCGAUACAACAAUCACGAUGUGUUUUACGAUACGCAACGAUGCAAAGCACAGCGCGAUUAUUUCCAUGCAUAAGCUUUCUCAGCUGCCGCUGCUCAAAGAGCAGCUUACUUGCGUUCUCCCGAAUGAUGCGCCGCUUCUCUUGGUCCAGCGCGUGGCUUCUACACAGCUUCCCCCUUUCAUUUUUUCUCGCUCUUCGAGAUGGAAGCCGUUUGCCCAUAGGCGAAAUUGAGGCACGUGCACUAACUUGCAUGUAUCGAAGGCGAUUUGCAAAUGGCUCGGAGAUGUAUGCACUUUUAUAUAUCAUAAUAUUUCUAGAGAAAGAAUUAGAAUAUUCACAUCUCAGAAUAUAAGAGUAUAUCAUAUUUUCUGGUUUUUACAGA